AACGAACGCUGGCGGCGUGCUUAACACAUGCAAGUCGAACGAGGUCCACCCAGUAGCAAUACUGGUGAAGACCUAGUGGCGAACGGGUGAGUAACACGUGAGCAACCUGCCCCGAAGACCGGGAUAACAGUGGGAAACCGCUGCUAAUACCGGAUACCCCCACCGAGUCGCAUGGCUUGGUGAGGAAAGGAUUCUGCUUCGGGAGGGACUCGCGGCCUAUCAGCUUGUUGGUGGGGUAACGGCCCACCAAGGCGACGACGGGUAGCUGGUCUGAGAG
rnacentral:rRNA from 1 species